ACAAAGCACGAAUUUUUAGAUUGUAGGAAGAUGCAAGGUGAAGAUAGCGACCUCUUUAGUUGUGUCAAAACUGAACAAUAGGGAAAAUCCAACAACUUUUGCUGGGAAGUAUAAGAGCGUCUUAUAUCAGAAGGUGUCAGUACCAGUAAUACAGCUCCUCGUAUUAGUUCCAGUAAUCGCAUACUAUGUAAUAUAAUGGUUGAAUUGGUCAAGGUUGAGGUUGCGAGAGUUGUAGUCUACGGAGUCUAUGAUCUUUACGCAGAGUCAUGUCACUGGGACUACCACAAUGGUUGCUUUUUCUUCUCUCCCCCCCCGUCUGGUUUGGAAGUUACCCUACUAAUUAGGCUGGUCUGCCACCAUGUGGUUUUCUCACAGACAAGCGAAACGGAGAUGACAUUAAAGGAACAGCAUCUUAAAGCUUACGAACGAUAAAGAAAUUCCCUCCUCACACCCUUCUAUUCAGGAGCCUCUCACUCUCUCGUCAAGCAAGACCAAAGACCAGCUGAUGAUGUGUCUAAAAUGGGUGAUGAAAAGUUAGCCUUUUUUUCUGCUUACGAACUUGUAUCCACACCUGUUACCUUAGAUACAGAAUAACUGUAACUUUCAUCUAAGUGUUUUCUUACAGAAAAACGUAAUGCCGGAGGUUACAUUAUAUUAUAAACAAAACUUCUUUUAUCGAGUUUCGAAACACGUAAGUUUGAAAGUUUUAUACUUACAGAUUUUCCUGUAGGAAUGUAACAAAACAUUUAAUUUUACACACUUGUUUGAAUAAGAUCAAAGCCUCAUUGGGCUAUCUGUUGUGUCUACUGCGGAGAAUUGAAUCCCGGGUUUUAGCGUUGUAAGGCCGUAAACUUACCGUUGUCUCACCAUGGGACCUUCUUUAUUAUUCACGAUUAAGCUAAUGAAAACAAUAAGUACACCAAGCUUAUACCGUUUUGUGCACUUUU
rnacentral:lncRNA from 1 species